CUUCCCCACGUCACUCAGGAACCGAACCUGCAGCUCAGGUCUAGGCUGCCGCCUGACGUGCCCGGUUUCACCGUCGAGCCACCGCGUCAUUAUGACCUCGGAUGCUUCUCCCGGGGUGGCUCGGUUUGAGGACUGGAGUCCGCUCACCGUCACAGCUGCGACGACCCUCCUCCGUCCACGGGGGGCGGCUUUGCACUCCACCGCAACCGGAUCUGAUGUUGGCGGAGAUGAUCGCCAACAUCGACAACCACCGCAGAGCGCGCACACCUUCUCCUCGCGCCUCCACAAGACCUCAUAACACCUGGAGCUUCACCCUCGUGGGUGAGAGCGACCCGAUGGCAGCGGAUUUAUUACCGAAGAGAAGGCAGGAGGAGGAGGAGUGCGGCUGAUCCUCCGAGUAAGGAGGGAUGUCAUUCGGGUCCGGUCCAAAACAGUCGCAGGGACAGCCGCAGCGGAGGAGGACGGCCUGAUCGGGGGACAGUGGACACAACCGGGACAAGAUGAGCCCGGUAGAAGGCGCCCGGGCCCAGCGGCGGACUGCCCGGCCGUCGGCGCUCGAUUGUCGGCCCGAGCCGACAGGAAGGAGCGCUGUCCUUACAGCAAGCAGCAGACCCUGGAGCUGUUGAAGCCUGUACCUGAGCCGACAGCGCCGCCUGGAGACCAGCAGGAGCGUCGACCUGAGCGAACUGCAGGUAGAGAACCGGAGGAUGAGGAUGAGGAAGCAGCAUGCGCGCUAACCGGAGCAGCGAGACCCUCACCUCAGCACCCGAUGGACUGAUGGAGGAGAGGACCUUCCGGCUCGGACUGCAUCGCGCUGGAAAACACAGAGAGGAUGAGGAAGACGAGGGUGUGUGUUGCGAUUAACUGAACGUGUAAUGUCAGCCCUUUGUAGCUGCAGCUUUACACACAGGGCUCGAGGUACAGCGCCGGCCGGCUGGCAUCACAUCAGUCAGUUUAACAAAUAUGUUACCACCUAAACUUCUUAUAUCCGCCCUGGUGUUAUUUCUAGUUGAGGACAAAGUGGAGUGAGGACAGUUUAACGGGACAUCAUUGUGAUAGAUUAUCAUGGGAAUCAGAAUAUGAGCGUCUGGAGAUCCUGGCUGCAGCUGACAAUCUAGUAUGAAGAUAAAAACUAACAUCUAAUGUGGACUGUUGCGGCCCCAUGGAGGAUUCAAGUCCGAGCCAACGAACCGCACACAGACAUGAAUGGAGGAGGAGACGGCCUCAGAGGAGAGUGUAGGCUGGAUAUAUUGGGGGGGUGGGACAUUGUCUUGUUGUUUUGACGGCUUUUCUCUCUCUCAUUUUCUCAUGUUCCAGCGCCUCUAUCCACCUUCUUUCCAAAUAUAAAUCUGAAGUCUUUACAUUUUAUUUUACUUUCCCAUCCAGGCAACUUGGACUCAGUCAGCCUUUCUUCAUCUAAUGGGAUCCUCGACUACGAAACCAUCCCCUGAAAUUAUUCCUAAAUUAAAUUCUUCUAUUCUACUGACCUCGGGCCGUCCCUGCUUCCUCACAGAGCUCUUCGUGAAUCAGCUCCAGAGGUUUUCCAAACUUCUUUUCGCAUCGGGGUCACACAGUUUGAUAUUCAUUAAGUCAAGCAGAAACCUGGUGCUGAAGGGAUUUUACUUGUUAGAUAUGAUUUACUGCUGCAGUCUGACCUCCUGCUGCUGGAUCCAGUCACAUGCACUCUAAUCAUUUGAUUAUAACCAGAGGACGGCAAAACUUCCAGUCUUGCAACUGUCGCAUAAAAACCUUAACCGAGUUAUUGUACUAGCGUGACGAUUCAACUGUAAUUUAAUUAACAUGGAUUUGCAUUUGUCAAUCUUUCAUAUGACUCCUGGCAUAUAUCAAACAGUCUGCGUUCUUUAGGUGUUCUUAUUCUGUGCCACAAGUGUGAACUGAAUGCACUGAAGUUUUGGGUGGUUACAGUGAAACUGAUAAAAAUUAUCUGACAUUGCAAGUAAUAGAGUUUGUGCUAAUGUGUUCUGUAAAGUCAUAAACUAGAAACAAUAAAAUGCAACAAAAUUCCCUCAUUUCCUCCCAUGUUCUUGUGUCUACAGCCUGACUACUCAAUAUCCUUACAGAUAUUAAAGGCAAACUGCAUUAUUACAACUAUCUUAUUUUCAUCAGUUAAAUCACGUAUAAAAUAAAUAAUAAUAAAUUAUGAUAUUGUACUCACUAAGUUAAUUGCUGCAAUGUCGGAACACAACAACAUCGCUAAGAAGAAGUCCAAUGGGGCAAGAAACAUGUGAUCAGACAGUUUAGACACAUUAUCUGGAUAGAGGCAUAACGUCAAUGAAAUAUCUCAUUGCUCUCAAGAUAAUUCAUAAUCAUACCUGCAAAUUAGUGUAACAUGUAAGUGCCUUCAAUCUUUGUAUUGCACUGCCAUGUUUAACAAAAUUAAUUGUUUGAGAAUAAUAAUGAGUUUUGAGACUGUCCUCACAACAAGUAUUAAUCAUUUGUUCAAACACAUAAAAUGGGAUGUUGUUACAGCACCACAAACCAUCUUUGGUUGGGGUGGGUGGUUGGGUGUACAAAGCAUGUGACUUUAAGUAGAUCACUGUAGGUGUCCUGCUCCCUUACUGUCAACAUUAGUUUAUUUUAACCAUGACGACAAUCUUUCCCUACACUUAAACGAAAUGUUUAACUUUCGCUUUCUCAGUUAGAGACUGCUGAGAGGUUUGACACUCUCUCAGGUGUACGAUAAAUACGAAGCCACCGCCAACACAUGCAUAGCUUAGCUUAGCUCAAAGACUGGAAUUGGGAGGAAACUACUAGCCUGGCUCAUUCCAUAGGUAACAAAACCCACCUAUCAGCACCUCUAAAGCUCACUCAAUACCAUAUAAUACUGUAUAUGUUUAAUCCUCACAAAAACUGAAGUGUAAAAACAACAUCUUGUGGUUUUAUACACGGUUAUGUGCCAAACUUGGUCUUGGCCGGGACCAGUAACUCCCUGGAGUCUCCGCUGGACUCCAGGAAGUUACUGCAUCUGGCCCAGAAGUAUAGUCCAGCACACAACCGCUAUAGAUUUGCCUUACAAAGAAAAGAAAAGGAAAGGUGGGGUGCCCCACUGGGUAGAGCACGCGCCCUAUGUACUAAGGCGGAGUACUCGCUGCAGCAGCCCGGGUAUAAUUCUCCUCUCUCUUUCUCCCCUCAUUUUCCUUUCUAUCUUCAGCUGUCACUUUCUAAAUAAAGGUAUACAGAGCAUAUUCCCCCAAUUGUCCAACUAUUCCUGUAACCAAGUAGUGCUUUGCCCCAAAACUUAACCAAAACUUAAGAAAACAGUCAUUUGUAAUGUUUUUAGAAGGCAAUGACAAUGUCAUCAUGACCCUAUCACCAGACAAGAAUGUAAAUAUUGGAUGAUUCAGCAAAACCCUGAAAUAUGUCCAAUGCCAACAUUUUGGAAAAGUUCACUUUCUACAACAGGGUUAAUAUAAGGGGAAGAAUACUGUAGUUAUGUGAAAGAAAGGACUCUUAUGGCAUAAUUCAAUUAGGCAAAUAAAACUGAGAUUGUUGUUAUGGUUAAUUAAAAGGGUAAAAUUAAUUGAAAGUCUGUGAUGGGAGGCAAUCUCCAGUCUCCUGCAUGAAGGUCAGACAUGCACUUUCCACAUUGCUACAUAAAGGACACAUUGCUUCUUGCGUUGGCACUGAUGAAUGUUGGCACUGGAUGUAAAUCAAGAGGUGCGUAAUCGUUCAGGGAUGUCACUCCUAAGGAUACUCGGCUGAUGAUAGCAGCGUCCAAUCAGAAAAUGCUAACGUAGAUCCUCUUGAAAGGCAAUGACAAUGCAUUUUGAAGACUUGAUGUUUUAGUGUCAUGUACUUCAGAGACUGAUCAAAAUGUGGAGUUUUCUAUUUCAGAUUGUUUGUACCUACUGUUGUCUACUUGUUGGAGAGUGUUGAGCUUUGUUAACCCGGUGUGAAAUCCCAGAAUUAGUAGGAGUGUUUCUCCCUGCAGUUUCAGUCAUGCAAGUAGAGUCACUGGAUACAUACAGGAGCUAUGUGAUGUAGGUAGUUUCAAGUUGUUGGGCUGGAUGCUUGAGAUCACAGGAACCUGAAACUGCCUGAAUCACACUAGUCUCAACCGCAUACAGCUGCAUGCCGACAGACAGCAGAGGAGGGAAACCAAGCACACCCAGCACUUAACCCAACCCAACACAACUUCGAUCAUCUGUGUACUGUUAAAUCCUACUAAAUGGACAAUCUGAUGGAUAAAACAAAGUGCAGCCUUUUCAGAUUGGUUGCUUUUGCAGAAAGCCCCAUGUGAAUGCAGAACACAUGUUCUUUGAAUCUGAAAUUGAAAAUGGACACAUGGUGGUUUUCCCAUGUGUUGCUGCAUCAGAAGCCUCAAAUAUUGUCUUCAUUUGCAGCAAGGUGCUUCCAAAUGUCUUUGUUUUUCUCUGUGCAAGCCCUUUUCAUUGGUUGAUAUUAUUUAAUGUAUUUAAUGUAAAAAUAAAGUUAUUUUUUAUCAGAA